AACUGUAAUGAAAUAAUUGAAAUAUUUAAUUUUUCAUAAUUUUUUUAUAAAAUAAAAAUAUUGUAUAAUACAUACCAAUACCAACAAGAGAGUUCACAAUAUAUGGAAGUGCUGUUAAACUAAUACUUUCUUUAUUAGCAGAAAGAUUUCUAGCCAAGUACAAAUAAUGGGAUUUCAUCUUGAGAAUUAGUUUCGUGAUAUAAUAAUAACCAUAAAAGUGUCCAUAUAAUACCAAUUAUACCAAAUAAAUAAAAUCCUGUUUGCCAUGACAAAUGAGGACACAACUAAAAAAUAACAUUAUAAUAUACAUAUAAUAUAAUAUACAUUUUAAACAUACAAUAGAUGCAACAACUUGUCCAACAGAGCCAGCUGCUACAAGAUAUCCAAAUGCUCUAGAUCGUUCCUCUACAGGUACAUUAUGUGCAAAUAAGUGAAAAAUAACUGGUAAACCUAAUAACAAUUUAGAGAAAAAUAUAUGAUUUACAAAA